rnacentral:rRNA from 1 species
GUUGAACGCUGGCGGCAUGCCUUACACAUGCAAGUCGAACGGCAGCGGACCUUCGGGUGCCGGCGAGUGGCGAACGGGUGAGUAAUAUAUCGGAACGUACCUUUCAGUGGGGGAUAACGUAGCGAAAGUUACGCUAAUACCGCAUAUUCUGUGAGCAGGAAAGCAGGGGAUCGCAAGACCUUGCGCUGAUUGAGCGGCCGAUAUCAGAUUAGCUAGUUGGUGAGGUAAAGGCUCACCAAGGCGACGAUCUGUAGCGGGUCUGAGAGGAUGAUCCGCCACACUGGAACUGAGACACGGUCCAGACUCCUACGGGAGGCAGCAGUGGGGAAUUUUGGACAAUGGGCGCAAGCCUGAUCCAGCCAUGCCGCGUGAGUGAAGAAGGCCUUCGGUUGUAAGAC